UACGUAGGGCGCAAGCGUUGUCCGGAAUUAUUGGGCGUAAAGAGCUCGUAGGCGGUCAGUCGCGUCUGCUGUGAAAACUCGGGGCUUAACUCCGGGCCUGCAGUGGGUACGGGCUGACUAGAGUGCGGUAGGGGAGACUGGAAUUCCUGGUGUAGCGGUGAAAUGCGCAGAUAUCAGGAGGAACACCGGUGGCGAAGGCGGGUCUCUGGGCCGAUACUGACACUGAGGAGCGAAAGCGUGGGGAGCGAACAGG
rnacentral:rRNA from 1 species